AGAGCGGAAGCCCGGAGAUGGGCACUGAGAUAAGGGCCCAGGCCCUACGGGGCGCAGCAGUUACGAAAACUCCCCAAUUCACGAAAGUGUGAGGGGGCUAUCCCGAGUGCCGUCCGCUGAGGAUGGCUUUUCCCCAUUGUAUAAAGCUGGGGGAAUAAGGAGAGGGCAAGACUGGUGUCAGCCGCCGCGGUAAUACCAGCUCUCCGAGUGGUGGGGACGUUUAUUGGGCCUAAAGCAUCCGUAGCCUGUUGGAAAAGUCCUCCGUUAAAUCCACCGAUUCAAUCGUUGGGCUGCGGGGGAUACUAUUCAACUAGGGAGCGGGAGAGGCUGACAGUAUUCCCGGGGUAGGGGUGAAAUCCUAUAAUCCCGAGAGGACCACCAGUAGCGAAGGCUGUCAGCU
rnacentral:rRNA from 1 species